rnacentral:lncRNA from 1 species
CUUAACUGCUUAAGGUGACUAAACAAAACUCAUUCAUCGUUUAUAAUAUUAUAUAAAAAAAAAAUUGUGAUGAAGGAAUCCUGAAAAAGUAAAUGAAAAAGUCUUGUCAUAAAUUUGAACUUAAAAAAUCUCUUUCAGACUAGCAUUUUAAUCACUCUUAUUCAAAGCAUGUUCAUACUGACAUGAAGUGUGACUUGUGAUCUAAAGCAUAUUUGUUGACUUAGCACUCAGAAACUGCUCUGAAAUAUUUUAAUAUAAAAAUAAAAAUGCAUUCUUAUUAUUAAUUUUUUUUAAAUAGAAGAAGAAAAAUAUCAGACCCA